rnacentral:rRNA from 1 species
AUGACUUUGUUUCCUGAAGAUUACAAGAUUGACAGGCUACGUUUGGUACAUAGAUGGAUUUCCGAGGGUUUCGUCCACAGCAAAGAUGGGAAAGAUCUUGUUGAAUUAGGAGAUGCAUAUUUUCAUGAGCUUGUCAAUAGGAGUUUAAUACAACCGAUUGACAUAGGGUAUGAUGGCAAGGCAUGGGGCUGCAGAGUGCAUGACACAAUCCUUGAUUUCCUCAUUUACAAGUCUACCCAAGAGAACUUUUGUACUUUGUUAGGUGAUCGUUCAGAGGCCACGCAUUUUUCAGAUAACGAAGUUCAUCGACUCUCACAGUUGGGAAAUGUGGGUAGAUCUCAUAAAAUGGAUUUAUCCCAUGCUCGAACAUUUGGUACUUUCGUGCACACCAAGCAAAUGCUCUCCCUUGAAUCAAAUGCUCUGCGUGUGCUAGACUUGGAAGAUUGUUGUGGACUGGAAAAUCAUCACAUCAAAAGUAUUGGAAGGUUUCCUCAGUUGAGGUACUUGAACAUCUCUAGCACACGAAUAACUAAGCUUCCAGAACAAAUAGGUGAUUUGCGACAUCUUGAGACACUAAAUGCAUACUGUGAUCUUCUAAGAGAGCUAUCAGAAACUGUU